GACAGAGGGUGCAAACGUUGUUCGGAAUUACUGGGCGUAAAGCGCGUGUAGGCGGCCAUCUAAGUCGGGCGUGAAAUCCCACGGCUCAACCGUGGAAGUGCACUCGAAACUGGAUGGCUAGAGUCCUGGAGAGGUGAGUGGAAUUCCCAGUGUAGAGGUGAAAUUCGUAGAUAUUGGGAAGAACACCGGUGGCGAAGGCGGCUCACUGGCUCGUAACUGACGCUCAGGCGCGACAGCGUGGGGAUCAAACAGG
rnacentral:rRNA from 1 species